GACAGAGGGUGCAAGCGUUAAUCGGAAUUACUGGGCGUAAAGCGUGCGCAGGCGGUGAUGUAAGACAGAUGUGAAAUCCCUGGGCUCAACCCAGGAACUGCGUCCGAUACUGGAAGGCUUGAAUCCGGGAGAGGGAUGCGGAAUUCCAGGUGUAGCGGUGAAAUGCGUAGAUAUCUGGAGGAAUACCGGUGGCGAAGGCGGCAUCCUGGACCGACAUUGACGCUGAACGGCGAAAGCUAGGGGAGCAAACGGG
rnacentral:rRNA from 1 species